rnacentral:rRNA from 1 species
UGAACGCUGGCGGCGUGCUUAACACAUGCAAGUCGAACGAUGAACCUGUGCUUGCACGGGGGAUUAGUGGCGAACGGGUGAGUAACACGUGAGUAACCUGCCCUUGACUUCGGGAUAAGCCUGGGAAACUGGGUCUAAUACUGGAUACGACCUCUCAUCGCAUGGUGUGGGGGUGGAAAGUUUUUGCGGUUUUGGAUGGACUCGCGGCCUAUCAGCUUGUUGGUGAGGUAAUGGCUCACCAAGGCGACGACGGGUAGCCGGCCUGAGAGGGUGACCGGCCACACUGGGACUGAGACACGGCCCAGACUCCUACGGGAGGCAGCAGUGGGGAAUAUUGCACAAUGGGCGAAAGCCUGAUGCAGCGACGCCGCGUGAGGGACGACGGCCUUCGGGUUGUAAACCUCUUUCAGUAGGGAACAAGGCAUCAUUUUUGUGGUGUUGAGGGUACUUGCAGAAGAA